AGCAGCCGCCGCGGUAAUACAGAGGAUGCAAGCGUUAUCCGGAAUGAUUGGGCGUAAAGCGUCUGUAGGUGGCUUUUCAAGUCCGCCGUCAAAUCCCAGGGCUCAACCCUGGACAGGCGGUGAAACUACCAAGCUGGAGUACGGUAGGGGCAGAGGGAAUUUCCAGUGGAGCGGUGAAAUGCGUUGAGAUCGAAAAGAACACCAACAGCGAAAGCACUCUGCUGGGACGACACUGACACUAAGAGACGAAAGCUAGGGGAGCAAAUGGGAUUAGAUACCCCCGUAGUCCUGUCUCUUAUACAC
rnacentral:rRNA from 1 species